GCUUACCCUUUGUUGUUAUUUUUUUAUUUUUUAUUUUAUUUUUUUUUUGUUUUUAGUUAUUGGUUUUGUAUUUGGGAAUUUAAAAAGUUUAUAAAUUUUGGAUUUUUUUUACUACCUUAUGGUGUGAAUUAGGCUGUCUUGAAAUUGUAUUUGUCAUCCCUAUAGCGAUUACACGUGUAAACAAAAUUUGGUAAGAAAAUGUGGUCAUUCUAAAUAAACACGGCUUGUCUCUGAUUAAUUUUUAUUUUUAUUUUUAAGGUUUCUCAUGAACUUAGCUAAACCAGUGUAUUAGGCCUGAUUGCAAGAGGAUAUUGUUAUCCUUGGUUCUCUUAAUGUGAGGAAUUUUUUUUUUUUUUUUUUAAUUUCGGACUACAUUUUCUUAGCAAUCAAAUGAGGAAACUAUUUAGCUUCCUAAGGCAAAAACUUGUGCCCUACCUCGAUUUUUAUUGGUUUGAGUAGUGAGACCCACCACUUCUGAGACCACCAAUGCUCUAAGACCACCAAAUAGUCUCUCAAUCCAAUGGAGCAAGGCUGACAUAUUAGAGGCUUUUUUUGAAGCUGGAACCUUCAUUUAAUGAACAACAAAUGUGUUGGCGUGAAGAGGAGAAUAAAAUCUUGUCAUAUUGUUCAUCAUAUGUGUGGGUACAAAAAUGUACAAAAUGAUUAGUCUAUAAAUUAAUUUUAUAUUCUUAAAAUAAAAUAUCAAAUUUGUUUGACAGAUAAAUUAAUUUGUUUAAAAAUAACAUUUUACGGCAUAUAAAAUUAUGUCAUGAAAAGUGUAGUGAUUUAUGACAUGCAAGAAAAUGCCGUAAAAGAUUAUAUACGGCAUACAAAGUAUGUCAUAAAUAUAUUAAAAAUGACAUUCUACGGCAUACAAAAUUAUGUAGUGAAAAGUGAUGAUUUAUGACAUGUAAGAAAAUAUUGUAAAAUAUUAUAUAUGACAUACAAAGUAUGCAAUAAAUAUAUUAAAAAUAAUCUUCUACGGCAUGCAGGCAUGACAAAAAUGUCUUAAAAAAUUAUAUACGACAUACAAAGUAUGUCAUUAAUGUUUAAUUUAUUACUUUUUACAAUUUUACCAACAUGUCGUAUAUGAAGCUCAACUUUUCACAGCAUGUCAUAUAACGGCAUUUGUGUGCAUGCUGUGAAAGAGUUUUUAUGACAUGCAUUGCAAGUCGUAAAAAUUCAAUUUUGUUGUAAUGAUGCUGGAUCAUGUGUUGCUUGAAAUUUAUAACUAGCAAGUUGCUAAUUUAUAUUGGGUUGUAGCAAUGAGUGUACUAGAGUCAAGGUUGCAAGCACUGAUGUACUGGUUUUGAUCACAAAUAAAUAUAACCGAACAGCUAGAAGCUGU